AAUAAGAAAUUUAGUCAUAUUUCGAAUUUAUUUAUAUCGUUGUCGUAUCUUAGUCGUUUUAAAUCAAUUAAAAGUAGCAAAAAAAGAAAUUAAAAAUGCGUUAGAAGUGUAUCAAAGAGAACUCCGUCCUUUCAUCGAGAUGGCUCAUGAGAGUGUUAGUAAUGGGAGUAACAGUGGGGCGAGCAGCAGUAUCAAUG
rnacentral:ribozyme from 1 species